rnacentral:lncRNA from 1 species
UGUUAUGGGAGGAGUAAUGUCAGCAUCAUGGCAGAGUGAGCUCUCCUUGUAAACUCUCCCCUCUGAGAUACUAUGAAAAGGACAUUCAUAUUCCAACAGAGGACAUUGAUACAAGACAGAAAAUGUCUGAAAAACUCACACAGCCAUACCUUAGAAGAUGGAAAUGCUGGAGACCCCCUCCUCCAACGAAGUGGAAUGAGGGACUCCGUGAUAUUGGAUAACUGAAGUUGAUGGAAGAUAUAAUGAGGCACCUAUACAAGCAGAAAGGAGUAAAAGGGGCCAGAAGAAGAGAGCUGAAUGUCCUGAUGACAACAUCUGAGAAAGCAAGAAAGGAAUGGGAG